rnacentral:ribozyme from 1 species
ACCCGUGGCGGCGGGGAUAAAUAGCCAGUUAAGCCGCCAGCGCCCCGGCCUUGUGCCGGGAGUCUGG